GACAGAGGAUGCAAGCGUUAUCCGGAAUGAUUGGGCGUAAAGCGUCUGUAGGUGGCUUUUUAAGUCCGCCGUCAAAUCCCAGGGCUCACCCUGACAGGUGGUGGAACUACCAAGCGGAGUACGGGUACGGGGCAGAGGGAAUUUCCGGUGGAGCGGUGAAAUUGCGUAGAGAGUACGGAAAAGAACACCAACGGCGGAAA
rnacentral:rRNA from 1 species